AACCUUAUGGACCUGCGGGCGUAUACCUGCGGAAGGAUCAUCAUCGAAUUCAUUUCCUUCUCCGACCGGAGGAGGUGCACCGUAAACCGUUCACUUUGGCAGGCUUUGGUGGUGAGCGUGAGCUCGUCAACCUCGUGUUCCCUCCCUAGGGGGGUUGCGCGUGGCGGCCUGCCGGAGUCCUCCAAUGAAAAACACGUUUUCGAACACGACUGAAAUUUCCUUUGAGAAAUCAAAGAACCG
rnacentral:misc_RNA from 1 species